AAUACACGACCUGCGGUGUUACAACACGAUGUAAUAUUUCAUUAUAAGCAUCACCGCACUACUACUACGUCGUUAUUCCGAUAAACAAUAAAAUAAGAUAGUGUACGAUUAAUUCCUGUCGCGUUAAUUUCCGUUCGAUCAUACGGCGCACCCAGGUACUGAAGCGGCCUAUUAACCGUAGUAGUUUGUUAAUACAUCCGAGUCCGUGAUGGAGGGGGGAAAUUCGAAGGGAAGAUUGAUCUCGUUGAUCCGCGUUCGCAACACUCUGUGAACGAAUAAAAAAAAAAUAAUAACAAACCGC